rnacentral:rRNA from 1 species
GAUGAACGCUGGCGGCGUGCCUAAUACAUGCCAGUCGAGCGAACAGACGAGGAGCUUGCUCCUCUGACGUUAGCGGCGGACGGGUGAGUAACACGUGGAUAACCUACCUAUAAGACUGGGAUAACUUCGGGAAACCGGAGCUAAUACCGGAUAAUAUAUUGAACCGCAUGGUUCAAUAGUGAAAGACGGUUUUGCUGUCACUUAUAGAUGGAUCCGCGCCGCAUUAGCUAGUUGGUAAGGUAACGGCUUACCAAGGCAACGAUGCGUAGCCGACCUGAGAGGGUGAUCGGCCACACUGGAACUGAGACACGGUCCAGACUCCUACGGGAGGCAGCAGUAGGAAAUCUUCCGCAAUGGGCGAAAGCCUGACGGAGCAACGCCGCGUGAGUGAUGAAGGUCUUCGGAUCGUAAAACUCUGUUAUUAGGGAAGAACAAAUGUGUAAGUAACUAUGCACGUCUUGACGGUACCUAAUCAGAAAGCCACGGCUAACUACGUG